ensembl:lncRNA
CGCCCGUGAGAGUCAGAUGCCAUGUCAUGAGGACACACAAGAGCCCCAGGGAGGCUCCUCAGACAGCUCCGUUGAUAAAGCAAUACCCCCCAAAAAAUGCCACAGGACUGGAGGAUUUUCCUCCAAGCUAACCUUCUAAUGCCUUGAGGAACAAGAUGUAGAACUCUCAGCUCCUCAUGCACCAUGUCUGGGCACUGCCAUGCUCCCGCCUUGAUGAUAAUGGACUGAACCUCUGAACCUACUGCUCUUAGUUCCGGAGAAGGUAGGCUCACUUACAGAAGGCAUUCUAGGGAUGAGAUUUCCAAGCAAAUGAGCGACUACAAUUGGCUGCACACUGGGAAUGUUUAAUAAGUUCACUCCGGAACCGCAGGCUGAGAACCUUGACUUGGACGUGUGAAGAGGAGAGAAGACACCCCACAUGCUAGUUUCCAGAAAAGGUUUCAAGGCUGGUGCAACUAAGACAUGUCAGAGGCUGCUCGAGGCUGCCCUUGCUGGUGCGGUGACUCCCACAGCAUCUUUCGUCUUUCCUGGCCAGUGCGCUCAGCUUGCAGACACGGCUGGGGUCACCACUCCAUGUAAUCCAACUCAGCUGUGGAAGACCGCCCCUGGAAAUGCACUUGAAAUUACAUCUCCCCUCUGGGUUUAUUGUCCUAUUGAUACUUGAGUUGUUCUGAGGAUAUGACUGGCUCCCUUCCUUGCCCCGAGUGGGGCAUCUGUGGUAACUUAAUGCCCUGCGCCCCCAG